rnacentral:rRNA from 1 species
GAUGAACGCUGGCGGCGUGCCUAAUACAUGCAAGUCGAGCGAACAGACGAGGAGCUUGCUCCUCUGACGUUAGCGGCGGACGGGUGAGUAACACGUGGAUAACCUACCUAUAAGACUGGGAUAACUUCGGGACACCGGAGCUAAUACCGGAUAAUAUAUUGAACCGCAUGGUUCAAUAGUGAAAGACGGUUUUGCUGUCACUUAUAGAUGGAUCCGCGCCGCAUUAGCUAGUUGGUAAGGUAACGGCUUACCAAGGCAACGAUGCGUAGCCGACCUGAGAGGGUGAUCGGCGACACUGGAACUGAGACACGGGCCAGACUCCUACGGGAGGCAGCAGUAGGGAAUCUUCCGCAAUGGGCGAAAGCCUGACGGAGCAACGCCGCGUGAGUGAUGAAGGUCUUCGGAUCGUAAAACUCUGUUAUUAGGGAAGAACAAAUGUGUAAGUAACUAUGCACGUCUUGACGGUACCUAAUCAGAAAGCCACGGCUAACUACGUG